rnacentral:lncRNA from 1 species
CUUUAUUUUAAAAUUGAUUGGCUCUUAAACAAUUUGACUUUCAAGUGCAGUCUCUGAAUUAUUUAAUAUAUUUCUUCCUCUUGAAAUUCUCGAAAUAGAUUUUUUCUGUUAUCUUCCCUCUCUAAAUGCUCAUCCAUUUAAAUACGCACCACCAUGUAAGAGACUUACUACAUUCAUUAGCUGUUUCAAAAUCCACUUCCUGUUCUCGGGCUCUACACCACCCACUGACCCUUUCCCUCAUGGCUUGAGUGUAACAAAGCGUUUGAGUGGGCACCGUGCAGGUGUAGGUUUUCUGCCCGAGUACCGACGUGGCUUCCUUGGUCAUCUAAACUCCCGCGCGGUGGGCGGGAGCAAGUAGGGGCACUGGGCGGCCCAGAGCCAGCCCACUGUUCCCGACACCGACCUUAACGGCCGACCCUGGCUCUGGC